GUGGAAUAACAAUGUAUAUCUGUAUUUUAGCCUAUAUGUAUGCUCUAUAUUAUUUUACUAUAAUAUAAUAUAGAACGUACAAAUAGGUAAUAAUUUUGAUACAAAAUCAAUAACUGAUAAAUUAUUCGUGAUAAUUCUUCUUUUCUCUUUUCUUCUUUUUAUUUUUCUUCAUCUUAGUUCUUAUCCAUUUCGAAUGUUACUGACCAGUGUAACUAUUUUAUCUUUAUCUGCGGUUUCCCUGAAGAUUUCAAUCGGUGUUUCGUUGUAUCAUGUCCUUAAAUUUUGCAUCUGUUCGUGGGCAAUCAGAAUUUUUUAUUCCAUUGUUUCUUCCUUGAAUAAUAGACUGCAACCAUCCGUAUUUUGUUUCAUUUCUCAUAGGUCCAAGAUAUAGCCGAUUUAUCGGAGAAAAAACACAUCCUACCCGUAUAGCAAAAAACAAAAUAUAGUUUUCUUUUUCAUACACUUUUAAAAUCUAAAAUUGUCGUAAAAAAUAUCCAACUUUUUAAAUUUACGAACGAAAAUCGCCUAGGUUAUCCGUAGAUAUUGAUAUAACCGAAAGUAAAUAAAAUCGCUAUAAUUGACUUUACAGACGUAAACUUUAUAACAUGC